AUUGAACGCUGGCGGCAUGCCUUACACAUGCAAGUCGAACGGCAGCACGGGUGCUUGCACCUGGUGGCGAGUGGCGAACGGGUGAGUAAUACAUCGGAACGUACCUUAUCGUGGGGGAUAACGCAGCGAAGGCUGUGCUAAUACCGCAUACGCCCUGAGGGGGAAAGCGGGGGAUCGCAAGACCUCGCGCGAUUAGAGCGGCCAAUGCCUGAUUAGCUAGUUGGUGGGGUAAAAGCCCACCAAGGCGACGAUCAGUAGCUGGUCUGAGAGGACGAUCAGCCACACUGGGACUGAGAAACGGCCCAGACUCCUACGGGAGGCAGCAGUGGGGAAUUUUGGACAAUGGGGGCAACCCUGAUCCAGCAAUGCCGCGUGAGUGAAGAAGGCCUUCGGGUUGUAAAGCUCUUUUGUCAGGGAAGAAACACCGGCUCUAACACAGUCCGGGAAUGACGGUACCUGAAGAAUAAGCACCGGCUAACUACGUGCCAGCCGCCGCCGUAA
rnacentral:rRNA from 1 species